UACAGAGGUCUCAAGCGUUGUUCGGAUUCAUUGGGCGUAAAGGGUGCGCAGGCGGCGCGGUAAGUCGGGUGUGAAAUCUCGGAGCUUAACUCCGAAACUGCAUUCGAUACUGCCGUGCUUGAGGACUGGAGAGGAGACUGGAAUUUACGGUGUAGCGGUGAAAUGCGUAGAUAUCGUAAGGAAGACCAGUGGCGAAGGCGGGUCUCUGGACAGUUCCUGACGCUGAGGCACGAAGGCCCAGGGGGAGCAAAACGGGG
rnacentral:rRNA from 1 species